CCUACGGGGGGCAGCAGGGAGGAAUAUUGGUCAAUGGGCGGACGCCUGAACCAGCCAAGUCGCGGGAGGGAAGACUGCCCUAUGGGUUGUAAACCUCUUUUGUCAGGGAGCAACGCCGGCUACGUGUAGCCGGACGGAGAGUACCUGAAGAAAAAGCAGCGGCCAACUCCGUGCCAGCAGCCGCGGUAAUACGGAGGAUGCGAGCGUGAUCCGGAUUUAUUGGGGUUAAAGGGUGCGUAGGCGGAAUGCCAAGUCAGUGGUAAACUCGCGGGGCUCAACCUCGCUCCGCCGUUGAAACUGGCGUUCUUGAGUGGGCGCGUGGUCUGCGGACUGCGUGUUGUAGCGGU
rnacentral:rRNA from 1 species